rnacentral:rRNA from 1 species
AGUCGAGCGGUACAUUUCUAGCUUGCUAGAAGAUGACGAGCGGCGGACGGGUGAGUAAUGCUUGGGAACAUGCCAUUAGGAGGGGGACAACAGUUGGAAACGACUGCUAAUACCGCAUAAUCUCUACGGAGCAAAGAUGGGGCUCUUCGGACCUAUCGCCUAAUGAUUGGCCCAAGUGGGAUUAGCUAGUUGGUGAGGUAAAGGCUCACCAAGGCGACGAUCCCUAGCUGGUCUGAGAGGAUGAUCAGCCACACUGGAACUGAGACACGGUCCAGACUCCUACGGGAGGCAGCAGUGGGGAAUAUUGCACAAUGGGCGCAAGCCUGAUGCAGCCAUGCCGCGUGUGUGAAGAAGGCCUUCGGGUUGUAAAGCACUUUCAGUAAGGAGGAAAGGUUAGUCGCUAAUAUCGGCUAGCUGUGACGUUACUUACAGAAGAAGCACCGGCUAACUCCGUGCCAGCAGCCGCGGUAAUACGGAGGGUGCGAGCGUUAAUCGGAAUUACUGGGCGUAAAGCGUACGCAGGCGGUUUGUUAAGCUAGAUGUGAAAGCCCCGGGCUCAACCUGGGAACUGCAUUUAGAACUGGCAGACUAGAGUGUGAUAGAGGGUGGUAGAAUUUCAGGUGUAGCGGUGAAAUGCGUANAGAUCUGAAGGAAUACCGAUGGCGAAGGCAGCCACCUGGGUCAACACUGACGCUCAUGUACGAAAGCGUGGGGAGCAAACAGGAUUAGAUACCCUGGUAGUCCACGCCGUAAACGAUGUCUAC